rnacentral:rRNA from 1 species
AUUGAACGCUGGCGGCAUGCCUUACACAUGCAAGUCGAACGGUAACAGGUUAAGCUGACGAGUGGCGAACGGGUGAGUAAUAUAUCGGAACGUGCCCAGUCGUGGGGGAUAACGUAGAGAAAGCUACGCUAAUACCGCAUACGAUCUACGGAUGAAAGCGGGGGAUCGCAAGACCUCGCGCGAUUGGAGCGGCCGAUAUCAGAUUAGGUUGUUGGUGAGGUAAAAGCUCACCAAGCCUGCGAUCUGUAGCUGGUCUGAGAGGACGACCAGCCACCCUGGAACUGAGACACGGUCCAGACUCCUACGGGAGGCAGCAGUGGGGAAUUUUGGACAAUGGACGCAAGUCUGAUCCAGCAAUGCCGCGUGCAGGACGAAGGCCUUCGGGUUGUAAACUGCUUUUGUACGGAACGAAACGGUGAGCUCUAAUACAGUUUGCUAAUGACGGUACCGUAAGAAUAAGCACCGGCUAACUACGUGCCAGCAGCCGCCGUAA